UACGAAGGGUGCAAGCGUUACUCGGAAUUACUGGGCGUAAAGCGUGCGUAGGUGGUUCGUUAAGUCUGAUGUGAAAGCCCUGGGCUCAACCUGGGAAUGGCAUUGGAUACUGGCGACCUAGAGUGCGGUAGAGGGUGGCGGAAUUCCCGGUGUAGCAGUGAAAUUCGUAGAUAUCGGGAGGAACACCAGUGGCGAAGGCGGCGAUCUGGGUGGAUACUGACGCUGAGGUGCGAAAGCGUGGGGAGCAAACAGG
rnacentral:rRNA from 1 species